CCUACGGGUGGCAGCAGUGGGGAAUAUUGCACAAUGGGCGAAAGCCUGAUGCAGCCACGCCGCGUGAAGGAAGAAGGGUUUCGGCGCGUAAACUUCUAUCAACAGGGGCGAAAGAAAUGACGGUACCUGAAUAAGAAGCCCCAGCUAAAUACGUGCCAGCAGACGGGGUAAUACGUAGGGGGGAAGCGGUAUCCGGAAUUACUGGGUGGAAAGGGUGAGUGGGGGGCAUGGUAAGCCAGAUGUGAAAGCCUUGGGCUUAACCCGAGGAUUGCAUUUGGAACUAUCAAGCUAGAGUACAGGAGAGGAAAGCGGAAUUCCUAGUGUAGCGGUGAAAUGCGUAGAUAUUAGGAAGAACACCAGGUGCGAAGGCGGCUUUCUGGACUGAAACUGACGCUGAGGCACGAAAGCGUGGGGAGCGAACAGGAUUAGAUACCCCGGUAGUC
rnacentral:rRNA from 1 species